rnacentral:rRNA from 1 species
CCUACGGGGGGCAGCAGUAGGGAAUAUUGCUCAAUGGGCGAAACCCUGAAGCAGCAACGCCGCGUGGAGGAUGAAGGUUUUCGGAUUGUAAACUCCUUUUGUUAGAGAAGAUAAUGACGGUAUCUAACGAAUAAGCACCGGCGCACUCCGUGCCAGCAGCCGCGGUAAUACGGAGGGUGCAAGCGUUACUCGGAAUCACUGGGCGUAAAGAGCGCGUAGGCGGGAUAGCAAGUCAGAUGUGAAAUCCUAGGGCUUAACCAUAGAACUGCAUUUGAAACUGUUAUUCUAGAGUAUGGGAGAGGUAGGUGGAAUUCGUGGUGUAGGGGUAAAAUCCGUAGAGAUCAAGAGGAACACUCAUUGCGAAGGCGACCUGCUAGAACAUAACUGACGCUGAUGCGCGAAAGCGUGGGGAGCAAACAGGAUUAGAUACCCUAGUAGUC